UAGCCGUAAACGAUACUCGCUAGGUGUCGGCCACGGUGCGACCGUUGUCGGUGCCGUAGGGAAGCCGUGAAGCGAGCCACCUGGGAAGUACGGCCGCAAGGCUGAAACUUAAAGGAAUUGGCGGGGGAGCACCACAACGGGUGGAGCUUGCGGUUUAAUUGGAUUCAACGCCGGAAAUCUUACCGGGACCGACAGCAACAUGAAGGCCAGGCUGAAGACUUUGCCGGAUUAGCUGAGAGGAGGUGCAUGGCGUAGUCGUG
rnacentral:rRNA from 1 species